UACGUAGGGUGCGAGCGUUGUCCGGAAUCAUUGGGCGUAAAGAGCGUGUAGGCGGCCCGGUAAGUCCGCUGUAAAAGUCAAAGGCUCAACCUUUGAAUGUCAGUGGAUACUGCCGGGCUAGAGUCCGGAAGAGGCGAGUGGAACUCCUGGUGUAGCGGUGGAAUGCGCAGAUAUCAGGAAGAACACCAACGGCGAAGGCAGCUCGCUGGGACGGUACUGACGCUGAGGCACGAAGGCCAGGGGAGCAAACGGG
rnacentral:rRNA from 1 species